UACGUAGGUGGCAAGCGUUGUCCGGAUUUAUUGGGUUUAAAGGGUGCGUAGGCGGCUUUGUAAGUCAGUGGUGAAAUAUGGCAGCUCAACUGUCAAGGUGCCAUUGAUACUGCAGGGCUUGAGUGGAGUCGAAGUAGGCGGAAUUGACGGUGUAGCGGUGAAAUGCUUAGAUAUCGUCAAGAACACCGAUAGUGAAGACAGUUUACUAGGCUUCUACUGACGCUGAGGCACGAAAGUGUGGGGAUCAAACAGG
rnacentral:rRNA from 1 species